rnacentral:tRNA from 1 species
UGGGGCGUAGCCAAGCGGAAAGGCAGUAGACUUUGACUCUAUUAUUCGCUGGUUCGAAUCCAGCCGUCCCAG